ACGUACACUCCUGCGGGAGGCAGCAGUGGGGAAUUUUGGACAAUGGGCGAAAGCCUGAUCCAGCCAUGCCGCGUGCAGGAUGAAGGCCUUCGGGUUGUAAACUGCUUUUGUACGGAACGAAACGGCCUUUUCUAAUAAAGAGGGCUAAUGACGGUACCGUAAGAAUAAGCACCGGCUAACUACGUGCCAGCAGCCGCGGUAAUACGUAGGGUGCAAGCGUUAAUCGGAAUUACUGGGCGUAAAGCGUGCGCAGGCGGUUAUGUAAGACAGUUGUGAAACCCCCGGGCUCAACCUGGGAACUGCAUCUGAGACUGCAUAGCUAGAGUACGGUAGAGGGGGAUGGAAUUCCGCGUGUAGCAGUGAAAUGCGUAGAUAUGCGGAGGAACACCGAUGGCGAAGGCAAUCCCCUGGACCUGUACUGACGCUCAUGCACGAAAGCGUGGGGAGCAAACAGGAUUAGAUACCCCGGUAGUCCC
rnacentral:rRNA from 1 species